CGCGACAGCUCAGCUGGUAGAGUAAUCGCUCGGAAAGCGGAUGGUCGCCGGUUCGAUUCCUGCUCUCCGCGU
rnacentral:tRNA from 1 species